rnacentral:rRNA from 1 species
UACGUAGGGUGCAGGCGUUAAUCGGAAUUACUGGGCGUAAAGCGUGCGCAGGCGGUUGCUUAAGACAGGUGUGAAAUCCCUCGGCUCAACCGGGGAACUGCGUCUGAUACUGGGUGGCUUGAAUCCGGGAGAGGGAUGCGGAAUUCCAGGUGUAGCGGUGAAAUGCGUAGAUAUCUGGAGGAACACCGGUGGCGAAGGCGGCAUCCUGGACCGGCAUUGACGCUGAGGCGCGAAAGCGUGGGUAGCAAACAGG